GUCUAAGUAUAAGCAAUUAUACCGCGAAACUGCGAAUGGCUCAUUAUAUAAGUUAUCGUUUAUUUGAUAGUACCUUACUACUUGGAUAACCGUGGUAAUUCUAGAGCUAAUACAUGCUAAAAAUCCCGACUUCGGAAGGGAUGUAUUUAUUAGAUUAAAAACCAAUGCCCUUCGGGGCUCACUGGUGAUUCAUGCAACAUCGAUAAACUCGAGCGCCCGUGGUGCAUCUAAAAGGAGCCAGUCGAU
rnacentral:ncRNA from 1 species